rnacentral:rRNA from 1 species
UCAUUAAAGAGACGUUGCCCUUCAGGGUAUACCUCCCACCCUUUGUUCACUAUACCUUUGUUGCUUUGGCGGGCCCGUCCUCGGACCACCGGCUUCGGCUGGUCAGCGCCCGCCAGAGGACCUAAAACUCUGUUUGUUCAUAUUGUCUGAGUACUAUAUAAUAGUUAAAACUUUCAACAACGGAUCUCUUGGUUCUGGCAUCGAUGAAGAACGCAGCGAAAUGCGAUAAGUAAUGUGAAUUGCAGAAUUCAGUGAAUCAUCGAAUCUUUGAACGCACAUUGCGCCCGCUAGUAUUCUGGCGGGCAUGCCUGUUCGAGCGUCCUUUGGACCCUCGGGCCCGGGUGGAUUCGUCCCCCAGCGGCCCGGCGUUGGAGGCCCGCGGCUGCCGCGGCCCCCUAAAUACAGUGGCGGACCUCUCCAGGCCCUGGCGUAGUAAACAAUCUCGCCUUCGGCUCCGGAGCAGUGCCUUGCCCCCAGCACCAACUUAUAAGUCUGGACCUCGAAUCAGGUAGGAAUACCCGCUGAACUUAAGCAUAUCAUA